ACAGUACUUCCUCCGUCCGGAAAUACUUGUUAUCAAAAUGGAUAAAAAGGAUGUAUCUAGAUGUACUUUAGUUUUAAAUACAUCUCGUUUUAUCCAUUUUAAUGACAAGCAUUUUCGGACCGAGGGAGUACUUG
rfam:Triticum aestivum genome assembly, contig: Triticum_aestivum_CS42_TGACv1_scaffold_131135_2BL